UACGUACGAGGCGAGCGUUAUCCGGAAUUACUGGGCGUAAAGCGCGCGCAGGCUGAUGCUUAAGUAGGGCGUGAAAUCUCCCGGCCUAACUGGGAGGGGUCGCUCUAGACUGGGCGUCUUGAGGACAGCAGAGGUGGGUGGAAUUCCUGUGUAGUGGUGAAAUGCGUAGAGAUCAGGAGGAACACCGGUGGCGAAGGCGGCUAUCUGGCCUAAUAUUGACGCUGAGAUGCGAAAGCGUGGGGAUCAAACAGG
rnacentral:rRNA from 1 species